rnacentral:rRNA from 1 species
UACGAAGGGGGCUAGCGUUGCUCGGAAUCACUGGGCGUAAAGCGCACGUAGGCGGCUUUUUAAGUCAGGGGUGAAAUCCUGGAGCUCAACUCCAGAACUGCCUUUGAUACUGAGAAGCUUGAGUCCGGGAGAGGCGAGUGGAACUGCGAGUGUAGAGGUGAAAUUCGUAGAUAUUCGCAAGAACACCAGUGGCGAAGGCGGCUCACUGGCCCGGUACUGACGCUGAGGCGCGAAAGCGUGGGGAGCAAACAGG